rnacentral:rRNA from 1 species
AUUGAACGCUGGCGGCAGGCCUAACACAUGCAAGUCGGACGGUAGUACAGAGGAGCUUGCUCCUUGGGUGACGAGUGGCGGACGGGUGAGUAAUGUCUGGGGAUCUGCCCGAUAGAGGGGGAUAACCACUGGGAACGGUGGCUAAUACCGCAUAAUGUCGCAAGACCAAAAAGUGGGACCUUCGGGCCUCUCACUAUCGGAUGCACCCAGAUGGGAUUAGCCAGGAGGAGGGGUAAUGGCCCACCUAGGCGACGAACGCUAGAUGGUCAGAGAGGGUGAACAGCGAAGCUGGAACUGAGAAACGGUCCAGACUCCUGCGGGAGGCAGCAGUGGGGAAUAUUGCACAUUGGGCGCAAGCCUGAUGCAGCCAUGCCGCGUGUAUGAAGAAGGCCUUCGGGUUGUAAAGUACUUUCAGCGGGGAGGAAGGCGGUGAGGUUAAUAACCUCGCCGAUUGACGUUACCCGCAGAAGAAGCACCGGCUAACUCCGUGCCAGCAGCCGCCGUAA